rnacentral:rRNA from 1 species
AUUGAACGCUGGCGGAAUGCUUUACACAUGCAAGUCGAACGGCAGCACGGACUUCGGUCUGGUGGCGAGUGGCGAACGGGAGAGUAAUGUAUCGGAACGUGCCCAGUCGUGGGGGAUAACGUAGUGAAAAUUACGCUAAUACCGCAUACGAUCUCUGGAUGAAAGCGGGGGAUCGCAAGACCUCGCGCGAUUGGCGCGGCCGAUAUCAGAUUAGGUAGUUGGUGGGGGAAAGGCCCACCAAGCCAACGAUCUGUAGCUGGUCGGAGAGGACACCCAGGGACACUGGAACGGAGACACGGACCCGACUCCUACUGGAGGAAGAGAUGAUGUAGUUUGGUCAAUGGGCGAAACCCUGUUCCAGCCAUUCCGCGUGCAGGAUGAAGGCCCUCGGGUUGUAAACUGCUUUUGUACAGAGCAAAAAGAUGUCUACUAAAACUAGGAGCUCAUGACGGUACUGUAAAGAUAAGCACCGGCUAACUACGUGCCAGCAGCCGCCGUAA